CGGGGUGUAGCGCAGUCUGGUAGCGCACCUGCAUGGGGUGCAGGUGGUCGGAGGUUCGAAUCCUCUCUCCCCGACCA
rnacentral:tRNA from 1 species